AAGGUAGCCACAUCUGCUGCUUGCCCCCGCAUCAGCCCAGUAUGGUGCAGAUUCAAAAGGGCCACAAUUCCCGGGACACUUGCUAAGGGCUCGCUGGAGACGUACCAAGAAUAAAUAGCGAGCAGACAGUAAGCUCUCAUCCCAGGAACAGCUUUCAGUCAUCUCUCCCUGAACCACUGUUGCAUCAGGACCUACAGAAGUAAGUUCUGUAUGUGACAGAUCACUUCUACUAGAAGAACUGUUUUACAGCAGAGCUGGAAAAGACUAAAAAUCAUGAACAAAUUAAAAGAUCUCACAUUACCUACAUAUACAAGGAUUUAAGCAGUAUGAGCAGCAUCUAGGAUUCAGCUUCUGCCAGUUCCUAAGAAGCAAAUCAAGUUCUAGUCCAUUUGAAAUUCUCUCAUUAUUAAAUAUAUAUAUACUUAUAUAUAGAUCUCUCUCUCUCUCUCUCUCCCCCUCUCUCAGGGCUUUUGUAAAGCAGAUUACUGUAUUACCAAUCAUUUCACUAUUGUAGCCUCUAUAGCCUUACUUUGGGAAGUGCUAAGAGGCUUUUAUAGACAACCAUCUUACAUUAGA